rnacentral:sRNA from 1 species
GCCGGACGGCGGGCGGACCGCGGCCGAGAACCCGACGUGCGCGAAGCCGAAGUCGCAGAGCUUGGCGUCGUGGUUGGCGUCGAGCAGCACGUUCGAGGACUUGAUGUCGCCGUGGAUGACGGCGGGGUCCCGGCUCUCGUGGAGGUACUCCAGCGCCAUCGCCACCUGGAACGCGACGGCCAUGCGCCGCGCCCACGGCAGCACCGUCCGGCUCUUCCCGCCGCUCCGGUGGUGGAGCCUCUCAGUUCGUCGAUGAGGUGACGAGUGAUUUCGUGUUUACCUCGUUCGUCGCAGUAGCCGAGGAGGCGGACGACGUGGGGGUGGCGGAGGGAGAGGAGCACGUCGCGCUCCUGGCAGAAGGCGCGGUGGAGGCGCUCGCUGCUGCGCUGCACCUUGACGGCGCCGAGGCGGGAGGAGGUGAGCGACGCGAGGUACACGGUGCUGAACCCGCCCUGCCCGAUCA